CACCUGCAGGCUGGCAGGCCCCCAGGUGGGGAUGAGCGAGUACCUCUUUGAAAGGCUCACCCUUAAGCAUGACUAGGAGG
rnacentral:pre_miRNA from 1 species